UUCCUGGAGGACUAGUGGUUAUGCUACAGUGCUGUCAUGGCUGUGGCCCGGGUUCAAUUCCCACCCAGGGAA